rnacentral:lncRNA from 1 species
GGAUUACACUACAUAUAAGGCUGCCAAAGAAUAAGCUAAAGGCCCAGUGAGGUUACCAAGUAUAUUGCCUAAGGCUAGGUUAAAAAGAAGGUAUAAAACAAGUCUAUCAAAUAAAUGCCUAUAUCAUCUCCUAAACCUAUACUUUUUAUUUUCCUUUGCACACAUCAGGCAAGUUCUAAACAUCACAUACAACAAGGAAUAUACAAAUACCUCGCAUGCACAAGGCAUAUAUUUGAUUCAUGUAG